rnacentral:rRNA from 1 species
AGUUUUGAUCCUGGCGUCAGGAGUGAACGACUAGCUACAGGCGUAACUACAUGCAAGUCGAGGGGAAACGACAUCGAAAGCUUGCUUUUCGAUGGGCGUCGACCGGCGCACGGGUGAGUAACGCGUAUCCAACCUGCCCACCACUUGGGGAUAACCUUGCGAAAGUAAGACUAAUACCCAAUGAUAUCUCUAGAAGACAUCUGAAAGAGAUUAAAGAUUUAUCGGUGAUGGAUGGGGAUGCGUCUGAUUAGCUUGUUGGCGGGGUAACGGCCCACCAAGGCAACGAUCAGUAGGGGUUCUGAGAGGAAGGUCCCCCACAUUGGAACUGAGACACGGUCCAAACUCCUACGGGAGGCAGCA